AGAGUUUGAUCAUGGCUCAGGACGAACGCUGGCGGCGUGCUUAACACAUGCAAGUCGAACGAACUUCUGCCCUUCGGGACAGAAGUGAGUGGCGAACGGGUGAGUAACACGUGAGCAACCUGCCCUUGACUCUGGAAUAACAGCUGGAAACAGCUGCUAAUACCGGAUACGACCUUCGAUGGCAUCAUCUGGAGGUGGAAAGCUCCGACGGUCAAGGAUGGGCUCGCGGCCUAUCAGCUUGUUGGUGAGGUAACGGCUCACCAAGGCUUCGACGGGUAGCCGGCCUGAGAGGGCGACCGGCCACACUGGGACUGAGAUACGGCCCAGACUCCUACGGGAGGCAGCAGUGGGGAAUAUUGCACAAUGGGCGAAAGCCUGAUGCAGCAACGCCGCGUGCGGGAUGACGGCCUUCGGGUUGUAAACCGCUUUCAGUUCCGACGAAGCGAAAGUGACGGUAGGAACAGAAGAAGGACCGGCCAACUACGUGCCAGCAGCCGCGGUGAUACGUAGGGUCCGAGCGUUGUCCGGAAUUAUUGGGCGUAAAGGGCUUGUAGGCGGUUUGUCACGUCGGAAGUGAAAACUCAGAGCUCAACUCUGAGCCUGCUUCCGAUACGGGCAAACUAGAGGGAUGCAGGGGAGAACGGAAUUCCUGGUGGAGCGGUGGAAUGCGCAGAUAUCAGGAGGAACACCGGUGGCGAAGGCGGUUCUCUGGGCAUUUCCUGACGCUGAGAAGCGAAAGCGUGGGGAGCAAACAGGCUUAGAUACCCUGGUAGUCCACGCCGUAAACGGUGGGCACUAGGUGUGGGGGACAUUCCACGUUCUCCGUGCCGAAGCUAACGCAUUAAGUGCCCCGCCUGGGGAGUACGGCCGCAAGGCUAAAACUCAAAUGAAUUGACGG
rnacentral:rRNA from 1 species